GUAGUCGGAUUCACAUUAAUCCACAUGUAUCGGGGCGGGUUGGAGUGAAAUUUGAACUAAAUUCCACCCCAAUCCACUCCAACACAUGUGGAUUGAAGUGAAUCCGACA
rfam:Sorghum bicolor cultivar BTx623 chromosome 1, whole genome shotgun sequence.